rnacentral:rRNA from 1 species
UACAGAGACCCCGAGCGUUACCCGGAUUUAUUGGGCGUAAAGGGUUCGUAGGUGGCGUAGUAAGUUGAAAGUUAAAACUCAUCGGCUUAACCUUUGAGGUGCUUUCAAUACUGCUAUGCUUAGAGGGCGUUAGAGGCAAACGGAACCGAUGGAGUAGGGGUGAAAUCCGUUGAUAUCAUCGGGAACACCAAAUGCGAAGGCAGUUUGCUGGGGCGACCCUGACACUGAGGAACGAAAGCGUGGGGAGCAAAAAGG